CGAAUUAAAAAAUUAUCAUCACGUCUCUUAAGAAAGGAGCAUAGUAUUGUUCCUUCGAAGAAUUCAAGCCAAGAUUCCUUCCAUUCUUUCUAUUGUUAUUUCAGCAACAGUAACGUUCUUUCUAAGUUCAUUUCUCAUCUCUUAUGGAAAGAGUUUCAGCAACGAUCAUUUUCCAAAUAGCAAUGUUAUUGCUGCGGGUAUUUCAUACGAAUUGUUCUCUAUUUCGAUCCUGUAGUAUCGUAUUUCAUCGCAAUUGGAGUGUGUUAGAAGGAUUAUCUAGAGGAUCGGCUCAUGUAUGUUAAGGAUGUUCCUUCUUUCUUUUUGGCUUGAUCUAUACGACACAAACGAAACAAGAAAAUUCACAAUUUUCAUAAAUGACUCUAUUCAUAGAAAUACUGGAGGUUCAUAUGUUCUUGAUUUCCCAUAUAUCUUAUUAUUCUAUUGUCUGUUCAUGGAUCUUUGAAAAUACUUAAGUUAGUAGAGUUUAUUUCACGAUAAUACUCAAAGGCAUAAUGGUCUUAUGACAUUCCAAGAGAUUUUGUUGACGUACUUCUCAUGCAUUAUAUUCAUUUAUACAUGUAUAUUGACCUAUGGCGAG
rnacentral:lncRNA from 1 species